UUNUGAACUGGGUGACUAGAGUGUGUCAGAGGGAGGUAGAAUUNCACGUGUAGCAGUGAAAUGCGUAGAGAUGUGGAGGAAUACCGAUGGCGAAGGCAGCCUCCUGGGAUAACACUGACGUUCAUGCCCGAAAGCGUGGGUAGCAAACAGGAUUAGAUACCCUGGUAGUCCACGCCCUAAACGAUGUCGAUUAGCUGUUGGGCAGCAUGACUGCUUAGUAGCGAAGCUAACGCGUGAAAUCGACCGCCUGGGGAGUACGGUCGCAAGAUUAAAACUCAAAGGAAUUGACGGGGACCCGCACAAGCGGUGGAUGAUGUGGAUUAAUUCGAUGCAACGCGAAGAACCUUACCUGGUCUUGACAUGUACGGAACCCUCCAGAGACGGAGGAGUGCCUUCGGGAGCCGUAACACAGGUGUUGCAUGGCUGUCGUCAGCUCGUGUCGUGAGAUGUUGGGUUAAGUCCCGCAACGAGCGCAACCCUUGUCAUUAGUUGCCAUCAUUAAGUUGGGCACUCUAAUGAGACUGCCGGUGACAAGCCGGAGGAAGGUGGGGAUGACGUCAAGUCCUCAUGGCCCUUAUGACCAGGGCUUCACACGUCAUACAAUGGUCGGUACAGAGGGUAGCCAAGCCGCGAGGCGGAGCCAAUCUCACAAAACCGAUCGUAGUCCGGAUUGCACUCUGCAACUCGAGUGCAUGAAGUCGGAAUCGCUAGUAAUCGCAGGUCAGCAUACUGCGGUGAAUACGUUCCCGGGUCUUGUACACACCGCCCGUCACACCAUGGGAGUGGGGGAUACCAGAAGUAGGUAGGGU
rnacentral:rRNA from 1 species